GAUGAAGAACGUAGCGAAAUGCGAUAAGUAAUGUGAAUUGCAGAAUUCAGUGAAUCAUCGAAUCUUUGAACGCACAUUGCGCCCGCCAGUAUUCUGGCGGGCAUGCCUGUUCGAGCGUCAUUUUUACCAUCAAGCUCUGCUUGUGUUGGGGUCCUGCGGCUGCCCGCAGGCCCUGAAACCCAGUGGCGGGCUCGCUAGUCACACCGAGCGCAGUAGCACAUCUCGCUCAGGGCGUGCGGCGGGUUCUUGCCGUAAAACAACCCCCCCUUUUCACCAAGGUUGACCUCGGAUCAGGUAGGAAUACCCGCUGAACUUAAGCAUAUCAAUAAGCGGAGGA
rnacentral:misc_RNA from 1 species